GACGAACGCUGGCGGCGUGCUUAACACAUGCAAGUCGAACGGAAAGGCCCUGCUUUUGUGGUGUGCUCGAGUGGCGAACGGGUGAGUAACACGUGAGUAACCUGCCCUUGACUUUGGGAUAACUUCAGGAAACUGGGGCUAAUACCGGAUAGGAGCUCCUGCUGCAUGGUGGGGGUUGGAAAUUUUCGGCGGGUGGGGAUGGACGCGCGGCUUAUCAGCUUGUUGGUGGGGUAGCGGCUUACCAAGGCUUUGACGGGUAGCCGGCCUGAGAGGGUGACCGGCCACAUUGGGACUGAGAUACGGCCCAGACGGCUACGGGAGGCAGCAGUGGGGAAUAUUGCACAAUGGGCGGAAGCCUGAUGCAGCAACGCCGCGUGCGGGAUGACGGCCUUCGGGUUGUAAACCGCUUUCGCCUGUGACGAAGCGUGAGUGACGGUAAUGGGUAAAGAAGCACCGGCUAACUACGUG
rnacentral:rRNA from 1 species